AGUAACACGUGGGUAACCUGCCCUAAAGUCUGGGAUACCACUUGGAAACAGGUGCUAAUACCGGAUAACAACAAUAGCUGCAUGGCUAUUGCUUAAAAGGCGGCGAAAGCUGUCGCUAAAGGAUGGACCCGCGGUGCAUUAGCUAGUUGGUAAGGUAAUGGCUUACCAAGGCGACGAUGCAUAGCCGAGUUGAGAGACUGAUCGGCCACAUUGGGACUGAGACACGGCCCAAACUCCUACGGAAGGCAGCAG
rnacentral:rRNA from 1 species